rnacentral:rRNA from 1 species
GACGGGGGAUGCGAGCGUUAUCCGGAAUGAUUGGCGUAAAGGGUCCGCAGGUGGCCCGGUCAGUCCGCUGUCAAAGCCUGGGGCUCAACCCUGGAGAGGCGGCGGGAGACCACCGGGCUUGAGUCCGGUAGGGGCAGAGGGAAUUCCGGUGGAGCGGUGAAUGCGUAGAGAUCGGAAGAACACCAACGGCGAAAGCACUCUGCUGGGCCGACACUGACACUGAGAGACGAAAGCUAGGGGAGCGAAUGGG